rnacentral:rRNA from 1 species
AGCGAACGCUGGCGACAGGCUUAACACAUGCAAGUCGAGCGGGCAUCUUCGGAUGUCAGCGGCAGACGGGUGAGUAACACGUGGGAACGUACCCUUCGGUUCGGAACAACUCUGGGAAACUGGAGCUAAUACCGGAUACGCCCUUAUGGGGAAAGGUUUACUGCCGAAGGAUCGGCCCGCGUCUGAUUAGCUAGUUGGUGGGGUAACGGCCUACCAAGGCGACGAUCAGUAGCUGGUCUGAGAGGAUGAUCAGCCACACUGGGACUGAGACACGGCCCAGACUCCUACGGGAGGCAGCAGUGGGGAAUAUUGGACAAUGGGCGCAAGCCUGAUCCAGCCAUGCCGCGUGAGUGAUGAAGGCCUUAGGGUUGUAAAGCUCUUUUGUCCGGGACGAUAAUGACGGUACCGGAAGAAUAAGCCCCGGCUAACUUCGUG